rnacentral:rRNA from 1 species
AGUGAACGCUGGCGGUAGGCCUAACACAUGCAAGUCGAACGGCAGCACAGUAAGAGCUUGCUCUUACGGGUGGCGAGUGGCGGACGAGUGAGGAAUACAUCGGAAUCUACUUUUUCGUGGGGGAUAACGUAGGGAAACUUACGCUAAUACCGCAUACGACCUACGGGUGAAAGCAGGGGAUCUUCGGACCUUGCGCGAUUGAAUGAGCCGAUGUCGGAUUAGCUAGUUGGCGGGGUAAAGGCCCACCAAGGCGACGAUCCGUAGCUGGUCUGAGAGGAUGAUCAGCCACACUGGAACUGAGACACGGUCCAGACUCCUACGGGAGGCAGCAGUGGGGAAUAUUGGACAAUGGGCGAAAGCCUGAUCCAGCCAUACCGCGUGGGUGAAGAAGGCCUUCGGGUUGUAAAGCCCUUUUGUUGGGAAAGAAGAGCAGCAGGUUAAUACCCCGCUGUUCUGACGGUACCCAAAGAAUAAGCACCGGCUAACUUCGUG